CCUGGCGGUCAUGGCGGGCGGGAACCACCCGAUCCCAUUCCGAACUCGGAAGUGAAGACGCUCUGCGCCGAUGGUAGUGUGGCCGUAGGCCAUGUGAGAGUAGGUCACUGCCAGGA
rnacentral:rRNA from 1 species